AGUGGGGUCUGUGGAACUCUUCAUGCUGCCACUCCAGAAGUAGAGACAGUAGCAUUAUUCGUAGUAGCCCAAACUGGAAAUGACCUGAGUGUCCAUUGGCUGGUGAAAAGACAAACAACAGCUGAAAGGAUUCAACACCAGCACACUUGCAUUUCAAGAAAUACAUAAGAUCUUCAGGCAAAAGGAAAAUAGUGCUAUGGAGAAACUCAGAUGGCUCGGGAGCCCAGGUGACACUGCUGUGAGGAAGAGGAGGGUUCAGCCAGAUUUGCCAUCCCGUCCCCUUGAGAAAUUCUGAACCUGUGUGGGAAACACAGUUGUGAAAUUAGAGACCAGUCCUAUGCCGGGUUUGCUCAGGAGAGAACAAGCUCUGAGCAGAGGCCCCACUCCCUUCCCAGCCCCAAGAGGCGAGAUCCUCUCUCACCUGUGCUGUUUCCCCGGAAGAGGCUGAGGGUCAGGUUCUGUGGAGCAUCUGGAAGAGAAAGAAGUGAUGGGUAAUAAUGAGGAAGAUGGUGGGGUCUGAGUGUUCUCUUCAUCUUGACCCAGCCAUGCCUCCAGGGCAGACCCCACAUUCCCAAGCCUUGUCCCCAACCAAGCACUGCACUGCCUGCAGGGACCCGGGUGUCCUGGCCCAGCACUCACAGGAGACACUGAGCUGGACGGUCCUCUCCACGGUCACCCUCGCUCCAGGGAAGGUCACCUGGCAGAAGUAUGUCCCGUCAUCCCCCCUCCGAGCGUCUCUGAUGUCCAGGGAGCAGUUGUUCUGGGGGUCUCCGAGGAGGUGGAAUCGGCCCUGGGUCUCCCCCUGCACGCUUCGAUCUGGGUGGUUAGUGGCCACUGGAGCACCAUAGAAUACAUCAGCCCCGUCCCGGAACCAGUAGCCGAGAGCUGGGUGGAAGUCGGUCCAGCCUUCCCUGGGGUAGGAGAACUGGCAGGGGAUGAAGACGCACAGGCCCUCCUGCACCGUCACCUGCCCCUGCACUUCCAGCCCGUAUCCCGGAUGCUGAGCCAGGGACCCUGUGGGGAGACAAGGUCAGCCGCAGCUCCAGCCCCAGCCCCACCCGCCCCUCUCCCCGCGGACCCUCACCUGCCCACAGCAGAGGCGGCAGCAGCAGCAUCUCAGGAGGGUCCCGGGGCUGCU